ensembl:snoRNA Gm26394 predicted gene, 26394
GCAUGGGUUUGGAUUUACGGCAGGCCCGUUCCCCUGGGGAUCGCAUAGUGUUCUGUGCUAGAGCGACCCGUGGCCCCGUCUGUAGGCUGCUGGCACUGAAGUGGGUCACACAGUA